CCUACGGGUGGCAGCAGUGGGGGAUAUUGGACAAUGGGGGAAACCCUGAUCCAGCGACGCCGCGUGAGUGAAGAAGUAUUUCGGUAUGUAAAGCUCUGUCAGCAGGGAAGAAAGAAAUGACGGUACCUGACCAAGAAGCCCCGGCUAACUACGUGCCAGCAGCCGCGGUAAUACGUAGGGGGCAAGCGUUAUCCGGAUUUACUGGGUGUAAAGGGAGCGUAGACGGCAGCGCAAGUCUGGAGUGAAAUGCCGGGGCCCAACCCCGGAACUGCUCUGGAAACUGUGAAGCUGGAGUGCAGGAGAGGUAAGCGGAAUUCCUGGUGUAGCGGUGAAAUGCGUAGAUAUCAGGAGGAACACCGGCGGCGAAGGCGGCUUACUGGACUGUAACUGACGUUGAGGCUCGAAGGCGUGGGGAGCAAACAGGAUUAGAUACCCCAGUAGUC
rnacentral:rRNA from 1 species